GCGUAAUUCGCUCAUUCUUUUGGUCAGUGGCUGGUUAAUUCAGCUGCUGAUUCUGACACUAGCUAGAUGCUGACACCAUGUACAUGUGUCAAUUGUUUUUGACCUAGGAAUUAUAACAGCUCUGCUGAUCUCACUUGUAUACCGGCUGUUCUUAUAUAUACAUAUUAGAUGUUUCGAGUAAAUCAUUUUGUGUGUUCAGAGCUGCUCCUGUGCAUUGUCGAUUCCACCUGCAUGUCUGAUUGUUCUAAGAAGUAUGAAUGUCGCAGACUGCCAGUUGAAGAUGUGCGACAUGCUCGUGCCACCAUUGUCAACAUCACAAACUGGCUGAACUUAGAAGUCUUUACAAAUUGCAAGCACGGAAGCAACAACCUCUUAAACAGAGUUCCUACAUACUGCAAGCAUUGAAAGCAACGACUUCCAAACAAAGUUCCUACAAACUGCAAGCACAUAAGCAAAGGUCCGCAUAAGCCGGCAAAAACAGGAGGUUAGUUCAAAAUGAACUAAAUCUGAGCAUGGCGAUUACAACUAACCUUAUCAAUUUUGACUACGGAACAACUUCCUAAACGAAGUUCCAUACGCAAAUACUCCCUCCGUUUUUAUUUACUCUGCAUAUUAGAGUUGACUGAAGUCAAACUUUGUAAAGUUUGACCAAGUUUAUAGACAACAAUAUAGACAUUUAUUAUAAUAAAUCUAUACGAUGUGAAAGUACAUCUACUAAUAAAUCUAAUGUUGUUGAUUUGUUAUUGUAUAUCUUUAUAUUUUUGUUCAUAAACUUGGUCAAACUUUGUAAAGCUUGACUUUGACCAAAGCUAAUAUGCGAACUAAAUAAAAACGGAGGGAGUACUAAGACUGGCAGCAUUGGUCCUACCUUAACCCGGCCUAUACAAAGUUACUACAGAACAACUACUUCCUACAGAUGCAGAGCCGCACUCACUUGUGCAAUAUCUAACAGCCACCACAGCCAGCUUCCCCUUGAUCCAGAAGCGCAUGCUCCAGCAACUACAGCUUGGCAAACACUUGAACACCAGCUCACUGCCCCUGGACCGUAGAAGCUGCUUCCAUUGCUGCAGAAAAUGCGAGAAAUUGGAAUGUAAUAUCAAUCAACUGGCGAAUCAUGUUAGCUCAAUGUACAUUACGCUUACUCACCAAUCACAAGGACCGACAAGUUCCUCAGAAAAUAAAAACAGGAGUUCAUGGAAUCAUUAAGAUAUAUUGACUUGUACUCAAGAG
rnacentral:lncRNA from 1 species